rnacentral:tRNA from 1 species
GGACCUCAAGUGGCAAGUUCACCAGACUAGCAAUCUGGUUCUACCUCCAGACUGUGGAUCUGGGUGUCGCGGGUUCGAAUCCCGUCA